UAGGGUGCAAGCGUUGUCCGGAAUUACUGGGCGUAAAGAGCUCGUAGGUGGUUUGUCGCGUCGUCUGUGAAAUCCCGGGGCUUAACUUCGGGCGUGCAGGCGAUACGGGCAUAACUUGAGUGCUGUAGGGGAGACUGGAAUUCCUGGUGUAGCGGUGAAAUGCGCAGAUAUCAGGAGGAACACCGAUGGCGAAGGCAGGUCUCUGGGCAGUUACUGACGCUGAGGAGCGAAAGCAUGGGUAGCGAA
rnacentral:rRNA from 1 species